rnacentral:rRNA from 1 species
AUUGAGCGCUGGCGGCAGGCCUAACACAUGCAAGUCGAGCGAGCGGCGGACGGGUGAGUAAUGUCUGGGAAACUGCCUGAUGGAGGGGGAUAACUACUGGAAACGGUAGCUAAUACCGCAUACCAUCAGAUGUGCCCAUAUGGGAUUAGCUAGUAGGUGGGGUAAUGGCUCACCUAGGCGACGAUCCCUAGCUGGUCUGAGAGGAUGAUCAGCCACACUGGGACGGAGACACGGCCCAGACUCCUACGGGAGGCAGCAGUGGGGAAUAUUGCACAAUGGGCGCAAGCCUGAUGCAGCCAUGCCGCGUGUGUGAAGAAGGCCUUCGGGUUGUAAAGCACUUUCAGCGAGGAGGCGUUACUCUCAGAAGAAGCACCGGCUAACUCCGUGCCAGCAGCCGCGGUAAUAC